UUGGCUCUCGCAUCGAUG
rnacentral:rRNA from 3 species